rnacentral:lncRNA from 1 species
UCCAAGUGCAGAUACAAGAAUGUGGAGUGCAAUUAUUGUCACAAAAUGGGGCACAUACAGAGGAACUGCUUCAUAUGGAAAAGGGGGAGCAAAAACAAUAACAGUAAGUAGAGAGAUAAGAAUCAUGAUGAUGAUGACCGUGUUACUACUGCUACUUGUGAUGAUCUGAUUAUUCUCAGUGACUAUGACUCAGUCAAUCUUGUAUC